rnacentral:misc_RNA from 1 species
GCAUGUGAGCGGUGAUGGAUUUGUAUGCCGCGGUGGGCUCCCUGCUAUUGUGCAGUUGACCACCGACGCUGCAAGUCUCUUCAAUGGCACUCUGUUUGAAUGGAGAUGCGUGUGUUGCCUGUACAAUCUACCUAGUUCCUUUGGAAAUAGACAUUGUUUACCUUGCUUAUCCACUUCUCUUGUCCUAUAUGAAUGAGAAGUGUCGAUGUCCGUGCACCUUGUGUGUCCUCGAACGAUGGUAUGUCUCAGACCUCUCGUCUCGAGUGGCUCCAGUGUUCACGUGAGUGCUCUUGGAUGCAGUGGAUAAGAAUGUACCAUGGGUCUUUGGACUCUUGGCACAUGAUCGGUUGGCUUUCUUAGUCGCCCUUUGACGGAUGACGGCCUUCCCAUCGUUGCCCCCCUUUCCCUUGUGGUAAUGGGUCGGCAUGUUGGGCUUGGCGUCGUAGAGGACGUGCUACC